ACUCCCUUAGAGUUUGAUCCUGGCUCAGGAUGAACGCUAGCUACAGGCUUAACACAUGCAAGUCGAGGGGAAACGAUAGAGAAAGCUUGCUUUUUCUAGGCGUCGACCGGCGCACGGGUGAGUAACGCGUAUCCAACCUGCCCAUCACUUGGGGAUAACCUUGCGAAAGUAAGACUAAUACCCAAUGACGUCUCUAGAAGACAUCUGAAGGAGAUUAAAGAUUUAUCGGUGAUGGAUGGGGAUGCGUCUGAUUAGCUUGUUGGCGGGGUAACGGCCCACCAAGGCGACGAUCAGUAGGGGUUCUGAGAGGAAGGUCCCCCACAUUGGAACUGAGACACGGUCCAAACUCCUACGGGAGGCAGCAGUGAGGAAUAUUGGUCAAUGGGCGAGAGCCUGAACCAGCCAAGUAGCGUGCAGGAAGACGGCCCUAUGGGUUGUAAACUGCUUUUAUAAGGGAAUAAAGUGAGUCUCGUGAGACUUUUUGCAUGUACCUUAUGAAUAAGGACCGGCUAAUUCCGUGCCAGCAGCCGCGGUAAUACGGAAGGUCCGGGCGUUAUCCGGAUUUAUUGGGUUUAAAGGGAGCGUAGGCCGGAGAUUAAGCGUGUUGUGAAAUGUAGACGCUCAACGUCUGCACUGCAGCGCGAACUGGUUUCCUUGAGUACGCACAAAGUGGGCGGAAUUCGUGGUGUAGCGGUGAAAUGCUUAGAUAUCACGAAGAACUCCGAUUGCGAAGGCAGCUCACUGGAGCGCAACUGACGCUGAAGCUCGAAAGUGCGGGUAUCGAACAGGAUUAGAUACCCUGGUAGUCCGCACGGUAAACGAUGGAUGCCCGCUGUUGGUCUGAAUAGGUCAGCGGCCAAGCGAAAGCAUUAAGCAUCCCACCUGGGGAGUACGCCGGCAACGGUGAAACUCAAAUGAAUUGACGG
rnacentral:rRNA from 1 species